AAGUGGAUUAGUGGCGCACGGGUGAGUAAUGCAUAGGUAACAUGCCCUUUAGUCUGGGAUAGCCACUAGAAAUGGUGAUUAAUACUGGAUACUUCCUACGGGAGAAAGAAUUUCGCUAAAGGAUUGGCCUAUGUCCCAUCAGCUUGUUGGUAAGGUAAUGGCUUACCAAGGCUAUGACGGGUAUCCGGCCUGAGAGGGUGAACGGACACACUGGAACUGAGACACGGUCCAGACUCCUACGGGAGGCAGCAGUAGGGAAUAUUGCUCAAUGGGGGAAACCCUGAAGCAGCAACGCCGCGUGGAGGAUGAAGGUUUUAGGAUUGUAAACUCCUUUUGUUAGAGAAGAUU
rnacentral:rRNA from 1 species